UACGGAGGAUGCGAGCGUUAUCCGGAUUUAUUGGGUUUAAAGGGUGCGUAGGCGGGAUGCCAAGUCAGCGGUAAAAAUGCGGUGCUCAACCCCUUUAAGCCGUUGAAACUGGUGAUCUUGAGUGGGCGAGAAGUAUGCGGAAUGCGUGGUGUAGCGGUGAAAUGCAUAGAUAUCACGCAGAACUCCGAUUGCGAAGGCAGCAUACCGGCGCCCGACUGACGCUGAGGCACGAAAGCGUGGGGAUCGAACAGG
rnacentral:rRNA from 1 species